rfam:Barley yellow dwarf virus Ker-II isolate K439, complete genome.
AGUGAAGAUUGACCCCUCACCAAAGUUCUCUUGUGCUAGAGAGACACGGCUCACCCUUUUUGUCUUAGGGAAGUCGUUUGCAAAGGUCACAGCGUCGCCUGACUCGCCGCUGCCACCCCACCUAUACAUCCCCCCCCCCCUUUCCAU